rnacentral:rRNA from 1 species
CGAUGUUUAGGGGGUCUGAGAGGAUGGUCCCCCACACUGGUACUGAGACACUGACCAGACUCCUACGGGAGGCAGCAGUGAGGAAUAUUGGUCAAUGGGCGAAAGCCUGAACCAGCCAUGCCGCGUGAAGGAUGACGGCCCUAUGGGUUGUAAACUUCUUUUAUACGGGAAGAAACCGUCCUACGUGUAGGGCGUUGACUGUACCGUACGAAUAAGCAUCGGCUAACUCCGUGCCAGCAGGCGCGGUAAUGCGGAGGAUGCAAGCGUUAUCCGGAUUUAUUGGGUUUAAAGGGUGCGUAGGCGGAAAUUUAAGUCAGUGAUGAAAUCCUGCGGCUCAAACGUAGAGCUGUUAUUGAUACUGAAUUUCUUGAAUACAGUUGAGGUAUGCGGAAUGAGUAAUGUAGCGGUGAAAUGCUUAGAUAUUACUCAGAACACCGAUUGCGAAGGCAGCUUACUAAACUGAUAUUGACGCUGAGGCACGAAAGCGUGGGGAGCGAACAGGAUUAGAUACCCUGGUAGUCCACGCCGUAAACGAUGAUCACUCGUUGUUGGCAAUACACCGUCAGCGACUGAGCGAAAGCAUUAAGUGAUCCACCUGGGGAGUACGAUCGCAAGAUUGAAACUCAAAGGACUUGACGGGGGCCCGCACAAGCGGAGGAACAUGUGGUUUAAUUCGAUGAUACGCGAGGAACCUUACCUGGGCUUAAAUGUAGAGCGACGGACCGGGAAACUGGUCUUUCUUCGGACGAUCUACAAGGUGCUGCAUGACUGUCGUCAGCUCGUGCCGUGAGCUGUCGGGUUAAGUCCCAUAACGAGCGCAACCCUCAUCAUUAGUUGCCAGCGGGUAAUGCCGGGGACUCUAAUGAAACUGCCGGUGUAAACCGAGAGGAAGCUGGGGAUGACGUCAAGUCAGCACGGCCCUUAUGUCCAGGGCUACACACGUGUUACAAUGGUCAGUACAAAGGGCAGCUACCAUGCGAAUGGAUGCUAAUCUCGAAAACUGGUCUCAGUUCGGAUCGGAGUCUGCAACUCGACUUCGUGAAGUUGGAUUCGCUAGUAAUCG